GAUGAACGCUGGCGGCGUGCCUAAUACAUGCAAGUCGAGCGAACAGAUGAGGAGCUUGCUCCUCUGACGUUAGCGGCGGACGGGUGAGUAACACGUGGAUAACCUACCUAUAAGACUGGGAUAACUUCGGGAAACCGGAGCUAAUACCGGAUAAUAUAUUGAACCGCAUGGUUCAAUAGUGAAAGACGGUUUUGCUGUCACUUAUAGAUGGAUCCGCGCCGCAUUAGCUAGUUGGUAAGGUAACGGCUUACCAAGGCAACGAUGCGUAGCCGACCUGAGAGGGUGAUCGGCCACACUGGAACUGAGACACGGUCCAGACUCCUACGGGAGGCAGCAGUAGGGAAUCUUCCGCAAUGGGCGAAAGCCUGACGGAGCAACGCCGCGUGCGUGAUGAAGGUCUUCGGAUCGUAAAACUCUGUUAUUAGGGAAGAACAAAUGUGUAAGUAACUAUGCACGUCUUGACGGUACCUAAUCAGAAAGCCACGGCUAACUACGUG
rnacentral:rRNA from 1 species